rnacentral:rRNA from 1 species
UACGUAGGCAGCAAGCGUUGUUCGGAAUUACUGGGCGUAAAGAGUGUGUAGGCGGUGCUCUAAGUCUGUUGGUGAAAUCUCCCGGCUUAACCGGGAGGGUGCGGCGGAAACUGGAGUGCUUGAGGGUGGGAGAGGUAAGCGGAAUUCCUGGUGUAGCGGUGAAAUGCGUAGAUAUGCGGAGGAACACCGAUGGCGAAGGCAAUCCCCUGGGCCAAUACGUGACGCUCAUGCACGAAAGCGUGGGGAGCAACAGG